GGUUAAGCGACUAAGCGUACACGGUGGAUGCCCUGGCAGUCAGAGGCGAUGAAGGGCGUGCUAAUCUGCGAUAAGCGCCGGUAAGGUGAUAUGAACCGUUAUAACCGGCGAUACCCGAAUGGGGAAACCCAGUGUGAUUCGUCACACUAUCAUUAACUGAAUCCAUAGGUUAAUGAGGCGAACCGGGGGAACUGAAACAUCUAAGUACCCCGAGGAAAAGAAAUCAACCGAGAUUCCCCCAGUAGCGGCGAGCGAACGGGGAGGAGCCCAGAGCCUGAAUCAGCAUGUGUGUUAGUGGAAGCGUCUGGAAAGGCGCGCGAUACAGGGUGACAGCCCCGUACACAAAAGCGCAUGUGUUGUGAGCUCGAUGAGUAGGGCGGGACACGUGGUAUCCUGUCUGAAUAUGGGGGGACCAUCCUCCAAGGCUAAAUACUCCUGACUGACCGAUAGUGAACCAGUACCGUGAGGGAAAGGCGAAAAGAACCCCGGCGAGGGGAGUGAAAAAGAACCUGAAACCGUGUACGUACAAGCAGUGGGAGCACCCUUUGGGGUGUGACUGCGUACCUUUUGUAUAAUGGGUCAGCGACUUAUAUUCUGUAGCAAGGUUAACCGAAUAGGGGAGCCGGAGGGAAACCGAGUCUUAACCGGGCGUUAAGUUGCAGGGUAUAGACCCGAAACCCGGUGAUCUAGCCAUGGGCAGGUUGAAGGUUGGGUAACACUAACUGGAGGACCGAACCGACUAAUGUUGAAAAAUUAGCGGAUGACCUGUGGCUGGGGGUGAAAGGCCAAUCAAACCGGGAGAUAGCUGGUUCUCCCCGAAAGCUAUUUAGGUAGCGCCUCGUGAAUUCAUCUCCGGGGGUAGAGCACUGUUUCGGCUAGGGGGCCAUCCCGGCUUACCAACCCGAUGCAAACUGCGAAUACCGGAGAAUGUUAUCACGGGAGACACACGGCGGGUGCUAACGUCCGUCGUGAAGAGGGAAACAACCCAGACCGCCAGCUAAGGUCCCAAAGUCAUAGUUAAGUGGGAAACGAUGUGGGAAGGCCCAGACAGCCAGGAUGUUGGCUUAGAAGCAGCCAUCAUUUAAAGAAAGCGUAAUAGCUCACUGGUCGAGUCGGCCUGCGCGGAAGAUGUAACGGGGCUAAAC
rnacentral:rRNA from 1 species